rnacentral:lncRNA from 1 species
CCGUGUCUGCCACCGACACCACAGCUCACGGCAACCUGGAUUCCCUGACCCACUGAUUGAGGCCGGGGACCAAACCUGCAUCCUCAUGGAUACUAGUCAGGUUUGCUAACCACUGAGCCAUGAUGGGAACCUGCACUUACUUUAUUAUUGUCAGUCAUUUAAGGGUCUGAUACCUCAGGGCUGUCAUUCUGAAGGUGAAGCUUUUGAUGUGGGACCAGCUGACAGGGACGUCCAUGCCCCAACACUGUUGUCCAGGGCACCGCAGGGCGUCGGAACGCGUAGCCCGAGCUGCCUCGUUGUGCCGUGUGUGCUGUCUAGAGAAAGAGAGGGAGAGAGGUUUUUAUUAAAAGGAGAUGGCUCGCCCACAUGCCUCCUGAAAAGUCCCAGGAUCUGUAGCCAGCAAGUUGGAGACCCAGGAGAGCUGAACCAUAGGUCUUUUUUUUUUUAAGGCCCAUACCUGCGGCACAUGGAGGUUCCCAGGCCGGCGGCUGCAGCUCCGAUUUGACCCCUGGCCUGGGAGCCGUGUGCUGUGGGUGCGGCCCUUAAAAAAAAAUACGGAAAAAACCAAAAAACCCAAACAAUACACAGUGAGAAGGGAAUUGGAUCCAGGCCGGUGCCACCUGGCCCCAGGGGAAGUCCCCCAGCCCCAGCGGGUUUCUGCCGAGUGCCGAGUGCCGGAGGGAAGGCCGUGCGGAGCCAGGAGCAGCCGCCGCCGGGUGGAGGAGCUGUGGGCGCAGGCACGGGCGGCCGCGUGUUGGUUUUGCCUCUGGCCGCGAGUGCGCUGCCGGCUGCCGGGGCGGAGUGUCCAUCUGCCGCUUCCCCAACCAGCCUCGUCCCUCGUCCCCUCCACUCUGCACGCGGACACGUUUGCCUCCACCCGUUGUCGCAGCGGAGGGACCUUCCUGUCGUCUGCCCUUGUGUCUCAUCGAGGUCCACGCCCGGCUUUCUCUGGCGAUCGUGUCCCCAUUCGCUUCGAUGGCCCGUCGCCGUGGGCCCAGCCUUGGCGGCCACCCGCCUGGCAGCAAGACCCAGCCCGGCUGAGUGCACGGCGGCGUCAUCGGCAUCCCUGCUCUCCUCGGGCUUCCAGGGGCGCCCGAAGGAGUCGCCCACGCCGAGGCUGGGCUGGGCUGCGAAAGGGGCGCGGCUGGCGGGCCGGGGCCCCGGGCCCUGCGCCUGCGUUCCCUGAUGCCCUCUCGAGACCCGUCCGCUUGUUUUGUGAUGCGUCUCUUCUCUUGAAAGCCUCUGAGUAGACAACCACCCUUAGCUCUCACCGUGGCGGAGGAAGGGGAGGCUAGUGACCCAGUGGCGUAGUUUACCCGUGGG